GCUCCCAUGUAGCUCUGUUAGUAGAAUAUGGGCAUUGACACUGCCAUGGUUCGGGGGUUCGAUUCCCACCGGGGCCA